UACAGAGGUCUCAAGCGUUGUUCGGAUUCAUUGGGCGUAAAGGGUGCGUAGGCGGCGCGGUAAGUCGGGUGUGAAAUCUUGGAGCUUAACUCCGAAACUGCAUUCGAUACUGCCGUGCUUGAGGACUGGAGAGGAGACUGGAAUUUACGGUGUAGCGGUGAAAUGCGUAGAUAUCGGGAAGAACACCUGAGGCGAAGGCGGGUUGCUGGGCCGACACUGACGCUGAUGCGCGAAAGCCAGGGGAGCGAACGGG
rnacentral:rRNA from 1 species